CAAGUGAAGCGGCCGAGUACUCGAGAGAGUGAUCAGGCCGUUUACACCCACCCGUGUCUAUAUACUCUUGUUGCUUUGGCGGGCCGUGGCCUCCACUGCGGGCUCUGCUCGUGUGUGCCCGCCAGAGGACCAAACUCUGAAUGUUAGUGAUGUCUGAGUACUAUCUAAUAGUUA
rnacentral:misc_RNA from 1 species